rnacentral:lncRNA from 1 species
ACAUAUAAUUACCUAUAUGAAUAGAUAAAAGUAUGUAAAAGUAGAUAAAAGUAGGUUAAUUGUGUAAUAUCUUCUAGAGAAGCUUCUUAGAAGCUUCAUAGACGCUGCUUUGACUUUAUAGGAGUCUAUAGUUGACUUUUAGGUUAGAAACUUAGUCAACAAGUUAGCCAUGUGCCACACAUGUUGGAAGCUUAAAGAACAAGCUAACUACGUGGUCCAUCCAUAGAAAACUUGCCUUGCAAGCAAAGGCAUGUGGCCUAGAAAGUCAACAUAUAUUGGAGGUCUUAUAGAACAUUGCCACGUGGCUUCUAGUUAGAUAGUAUAUAUAGAGGCAAGAGUGAAGCCCUCUUCACUCUUGUCAACUCCUUUCUUGCUUCUAGUCUAGUUUCAAGGGUCUCUAGUUUUCUUGUAUUUUGGCAAUAGCUAUUCCAGUUUCUUUCUUAA